rnacentral:lncRNA from 1 species
AGAAAGCUGGCAAACACACCAAGAAAAACCUAGGUGUUUGUCCAUGGAUGAAUGGACAGAUGUGGUGCUAUGCUUUGGAUCUGCAAGGUCACCCAAAGUCUCAUGCCUUGAGGGCUGGGUCCCCAGCUGGUGGCAGUGGUGGUGGAAACUUAGGAGGUGGGGCCUACCUGGAAGGCCCCUGGGGGUGUGUGCCAGGGAAGGGAAUAUUUUGUCCCUGAGCUGAGCCCCUUUGCUCCACCAUGGCUCCCAGCCAUGAUUUCCUUCUGCCUCACCACAGGUCCAAAAGAAAGGGAGCCAGCUGACCGUGGACUGAAACCUCAGAAACUAAGGGCUAGAGUAAGCCUUAUCCUUUCACACCCCUCCCAUCAACACACAUAUAUACACACAGGUGAACACACACACACACAAUGAAAUAUUAGUCUGCCAUUAAAAAGAAUAAAAUCCUGCAAUCUGUGGCAACAUAUAUGAACUUGUAAGACAUUGUGAUAAGUGAAAUAAUUCAGGCAUGAAAAAAUAAAUACUGCAUGCCCAUUCAUAGGAAGAAGCUAAAUAACUGGAUCUUGUGGAAGCAGAAUACAACAGUGGUUACUAGAGCCCGGAAAGAAUGAGGCAGAGAGGGAUGGACAGUGGAUGGGCAUAGGGGUAAAAUUGGAUAAGAGGAGUAACUUCUAAUGUUCUAUGGCACAGUGGGAUGACCAUGGUUGACAUUUAUUUUCAUUGUGUAUUUCAAAAUAACUAGUAGACUUCUCUAUUUUGAAUAUUCCCUAUACAAAGAAAUGAUAAAUGUUUGAGAUGAUGGUUAUGCUAAUUACCCUGACUUAAUCAUUACACGUAGUAUGCAUGUGUCAAAAUAUCACACUGUACCCCGUAAAUAUGUACAAUUAUUUUGUGUCAAUUAAAAAUAAAAAAUGGUGCUGGCACAACUGAUAUCUAUAUACAAAAGAACAAAGUCAGAUUCUAACUUUAUAUUAGAUACAAAAAUUAACUCAAAGGAGAUUAAAGAUCUAAAUACAUGAGCUGAAAAGUACAAAAUCUUAGAAAGAAGCAGAAGUAAAUCUUUGUGGCCUCAGAUUUUGCAAUGCU